rnacentral:rRNA from 1 species
GUGAGGAAUAUUGCGCAAUGGGCGAAAGCCUGACGCAGCGACGCCGCGUGGAGGAUGAAGGUCUUCGGAUUGUAAACUUCUGUUAAGUGGGAAGAAAGGGCUGUUUUUAAUAGAAGCAGUUAAUGACGGUACCAUUAAAGAAAGCACCGGCUAAACUCGUGCCAGCAGCCGCGGUAAUACGAGUGGUGCAAGCGUUAUUCGGAAUAAUUGGGCGUACAGGGUGUGUAGGCGGUAUGUUAAGUCUGUUGUUAAAGACUCAGGCCUAACCGGAGACAGGCAGCGGAAACUGGCGUACUAGAGGGUGGAAGAGAGAAGUGGAAUUCUCGGUGUAGCGGUAAAAUGCGUAGAUAUCGAGAGGAACACCGAUGGCGAAGGCAGCUUCUUGGUCCAUACCUGACGCUGAAACACGAAAGCGUGGGGAGCAAACAGGAUUAGAUACCCGAGUAGUCC